GAUGAAGAACGUAGCGAAAUGCGAUAAGUAAUGUGAAUUGCAGAAUUCAGUGAAUCAUCGAAUCUUUGAACGCACAUUGCGCCCGCCAGCAUUCUGGCGGGCAUGCCUGUUCGAGCGUCAUUUCAACCCUCGAGCCCCCCCGGGGGCCUCGGUGUUGGGGGACGGCACACCAGCCGCCCCCGAAAUGCAGUGGCGACCCCACCGCAGCCUCCCCUGCGUAGUAGCACACACCUCGCACCGGAGCGCGGAGGCGGUCACGCCGUAAAACGCCCAACUUUCUUAGAGUUGACCUCGGAUCAGGUAGGAAUACCCGCUGAACUUAAGCAUAUCAAAAGCGGAGGA
rnacentral:misc_RNA from 1 species